AUUGAACGCUGGCGGCAGGCCUAACACAUGCAAGUCGAGCGGAUGAAGGGAGCUUGCUCCUGGAUUCAGCGGCGGACGGGUGAGUAAUGCCUAGGAAUCUGCCUGGUAGUGGGGGACAACGUUUCGAAAGGAACGCUAAUACCGCAUACGUCCUACGGGAGAAAGCAGGGGACCUUCGGGCCUUGCGCUAUCAGAUGAGCCUAGGUCGGAUUAGCUAGUUGGUGAGGUAAUGGCUCACCAAGGCGACGAUCCGUAACUGGUCUGAGAGGAUGAUCAGUCACACUGGAACUGAGACACGGUCCAGACUCCUACGGGAGGCAGCAGUGGGGAAUAUUGGACAAUGGGCGAAAGCCUGAUCCAGCCAUGCCGCGUGUGUGAAGAAGGUCUUCGGAUUGUAAAGCACUUUAAGUUGGGAGGAAGGGUUGUAGAUUAAUACUCUGCAAUUUUGACGUUACCGACAGAAUAAGCACCGGCUAACUCUGUGCCAGCAGCCGCAGUAACAC
rnacentral:rRNA from 1 species